rnacentral:snoRNA from 1 species
GAGAUCAUACUAUACAGAAUCAUUUCUGCAGUAUGUAUUUCACAGUGAAUAAAUGUGUUGAAAACAAAAUGACUAAAUGAGU